rnacentral:rRNA from 1 species
UACGGAGGGUGCAAGCGUUGUUCGGAAUCACUGGGCGUAAAGGGCGUGUAGGCGGUCCGCUAAGUCUGAUGUGAAAGCCCGGGGCUCACCCCCGGAACGGGCAUUGGAAACUGGCGACUCGAGUCCGGCGAGAGGAAGGUGGAAUUCCCUGGUGUAAGCGGUGAAAUGCGUAGAUAUCAGGAGGAAUACCGGUGGCCGAAGGC